rnacentral:rRNA from 1 species
AUGGCGACCGGCGCACGGGUGAGCAACACGUAUCCAACCUGCCGAUAACUCGGGGAUAGCCUUUCGAAAGAAAGAUUAAUACCCGAUGGCAUAAUUAGACCGCAUGGUCUUAUUAUUAAAGAAUUUCGGUUAUCGAUGGGGAUGCGUUCCAUUAGGCAGUUGGUGAGGUAACGGCUCACCAAACCUUCGAUGGAUAGGGGUUCUGAGAGGAAGGUCCCCCACAUUGGAACUGAGACACGGUCCAA